rnacentral:rRNA from 1 species
CCCUACGGGGCGCAGCAGUAGGGAAUCUUCCACAAUGGACGAAAGUCUGAUGGAGCAACGCCGCGUGAGUGAAGAAGGGUUUCGGCUCGUAAAGCUCUGUUGGUAGUGAAGAAAGAUAGAGGGAGUAACUGGCCUUUAUUUGACGGUAAUUACUUAGAAAGUCACGGCUAACUACGUGCCAGCAGCCGCGGUAAUACGUAGGUGGCAAGCGUUGUCCGGAUUUAUUGGGCGUAAAGCGAGUGCAGGCGGGUCAAUAAGGUUGUAGUGGAAGGCUU